UUGCUUCCAUAUUAGCUGAGGAGGUGCUUCUUAUAGUAGUUGUGUUUUCAAAUUACCAGAACCUGCAUUCUUCACUUUGAAUGGGGGAUGAAGGUGAUGAUGUAGUGGAAUCACUGCCAUACUUCUUUUCGUUUAAGGUGCAUCAUUUGAUGUGCACAGAAUUAAUGAAAUUAGUUGAUAGAAUUGGAAAACUGUUUCCAGAAA